CGAGUGGCGGACGGGUGAGUAAUGCUUGGGAAUCUAGCUUAUGGAGGGGGAGUAACUACGGGAAACUGUAGCUAAUACCGCGUAAUAUCGAAAGAUUAAAGUGUGGGACCUUCGGGCCACAUGCCAUAGGAUGAGCCCAAGUGGGAUUAGGUAGUUGGUGAGGUAAAGGCUCACCAAGCCGACGAUCUCUAGCUGGUCUGAGAGGAUGACCAGCCACACUGGGACUGAGACACGGCCCAAACUCCUACGGGAGGCAGCAUG
rnacentral:rRNA from 1 species